rnacentral:rRNA from 1 species
GAUGAACGCUGGCGGCGUGCCUAAUACAUGCAAGUCGAACGCAUAGCGAAAGGUGCUUGCACCUUUCAAGUGAGUGGCGAACGGGUGAGUAACACGUGGACAACCUGCCUCAAGGCUGGGGAUAACAUUUGGAAACAGAUGCUAAUACCGAAUAAAACUUAGUGUCGCAUGACACCAAGUUAAAAGGCGCUUCGGCGUCACCUAGAGAUGGAUCCGCGGUGCAUUAGUUAGUUGGUGGGGUAAAGGCCUACCAAGACAAUGAUGCAUAGCCGAGUUGAGAGGCUGAUCGGCCACAUUGGGACUGAGACACGGCCCAAACUCCUAAGGGAGGCUGCAGGAGGGAAUCUUCCACAAUGGGCGAAAGCCUGAUGGAGCAACGCCGCGUGUGUGAUGAAGGCUUUCGGGUCGUAAAGCACUGUUGUAUGGGAAGAACAGCUAGAAUAGGAAAUGAUUUUAGUUUGACGGUACCAUACCAGAAAGGGACGGCUAAAUACGUG